rnacentral:rRNA from 1 species
UACGGAGGGAGCUAGCGUUGUUCGGAAUUACUGGGCGUAAAGCGCGCGUAGGCGGCUUUGUAAGUUAGAGGUGAAAGCCCGGGGCUCAACUCCGGAACUGCCUUUAAGACUGCAUCGCUUGAAUCCAGGAGAGGUGAGUGGAAUUCCGAGUGUAGAGGUGAAAUUCGUAGAUAUUCGGAAGAACACCAGUGGCGAAGGCGGCUCACUGGACUGGUAUUGACGCUGAGGUGGCGAAAGCGUUGGGGAGCAAACAGG